GAUGAACGCUGGCGGCGUGCCUAAUACAUGCAAGUCGAGCGAACGGACGAGAAGCUUGCUUCUCUGAUGUUAGCGGCGGACGGGUGAGUAACACGUGGAUAACCUACCUAUAAGACUGGGAUAACUUCGGGAAACCGGAGCUAAUACCGGAUAAUAUUUUGAACCGCAUGGUUCAAAAGUGAAAGACGGUCUUGCUGUCACUUAUAGAUGGAUCCGCGCUGCAUUAGCUAGUUGGUAAGUUAACGGCUUACCAAGGCAACGAUGCAUAGCCGACCUGAGGGGGUGAUCGGCCACACUGGAACUGAGACACGGUCCAGACUCCUACGGGAGGCAGCAGUAGGGAAUAUUCCGCAAUGGGCGAAAGCCUGACGGAGCAACGCCGCGUGAGUGAUGAAGGUCUUCGGAUCGUAAAACUCUGUUAUUAGGGAAGAACAUAUGUGUAAGUAACUGUGCACAUCUUGACGGUACCUAAUCAGAAAGCCACGGCUAACUACGUG
rnacentral:rRNA from 1 species